rnacentral:rRNA from 1 species
CCUACGGGGGGCUGCAGUGGGGAAUAUUGGACAAUGGGGGCAACCCUGAUCCAGCCAUGCCGCGUGUGUGAAGAAGGCCCUCGGGUUGUAAAGCACUUUCAGUGAGGAAGAACGCCUGGUGGUUAAUACCCAUCAGGAAAGACAUCACUCACAGAAGAAGCACCGGCUAACUCCGUGCCAGCAGCCGCGGUAAUACGGAGGGUGCGAGCGUUAAUCGGAAUUACUGGGCGUAAAGCGCGCGUAGGUGGCUUGAUAAGCCGGUUGUGAAAGCCCCGGGCUUAACCUGGGAACGGCAUCCGGAACUGUCAAGCUAGAGUGCAGGAGAGGAAGGUAGAAUUCCCGGUGUAGCGGUGAAAUGCGUAGAGAUCGGGAGGAAUACCAGUGGCGAAGGCGGCCUUCUGGACUGACACUGACACUGAGGUGCGAAAGCGUGGGUAGCAAACAGGAUUAGAUACCCUGGUAGUC